UACAGAGGUCUCAAGCGUUGUUCGGAUUCAUUGGGCGUAAAGGGUGCGUAGGUGGCGCUGUAAGUCGGGUGUGAAAUUUCGGAGCUUAACUCCGAAACUGCAUUCGAUACUGCGGUGCUUGAGGACUGGAGAGGAGACUGGAAUUCCUGGUGUAGCAGUGAAAUGCGUAGAUAUCAGGAGGAACACCGAUGGCGAAGGCAGGUCUCUGGGCUGACACUGACGCUCAUGCACGAAAGCGUGGGGAGCAAACAGG
rnacentral:rRNA from 1 species